UACGUAGGGAGCAAGCGUUGUCCGGAAUCAUUGGGCGUAAAGCGCGCGUAGGUGGCUUCGUAAGUCCGUUGUGAAAGUCAAAGGCUCAACCUUUGAAAGCCGAUGGAUACUGCGGAGCUAGAGUACGGAAGAGGCGAGUGGAAUUCCUGGUGUAGCGGUGGAAUGCGCAGAUACCAGGAGGAACACCAAUAGCGAAGGCAGCUCGCUGGGACGUUACUGACACUGAGGCGCGAAAGCGUGGGGAGCGAACAGG
rnacentral:rRNA from 1 species